rnacentral:misc_RNA from 1 species
CGUAACAAGGUUUCCGUAGGUGAACCUGCGGAAGGAUCAUUAUCGAGUUUUGAAAAGGGUUGUAGCUGGCCUUCGGCAACAAGUCGGAGGCAUGUGCACGCCUGGCUCAUCCACUCUCAAACCCCUGUGCACCUUUUGUAGGCUUCGGCAGAGAGGACUGACUUCGGUCGGUUCAGGAAGCCUUGUGCCUAUGUCACACAUACAAACGCUUCAGUUUAGAAUGUAACGAAUCGUGCGCCUCGGUGCAACGAAAUAAAUACAACUUUCAGCAACGGAUCUCUUGGCUCUCGCAUCGAUGAAGAACGCAGCGAAAUGCGAUAAGUAAUGUGAAUUGCAGAAUUCAGUGAAUCAUCGAAUCUUUGAACGCACCUUGCGCUCCUUGGUAUUCCGAGGAGCAUGCCUGUUUGAGUGUCAUGAAAUUCUCAACCUUUGAAGCUUUUUUUUGAGCUCGCAAAGGCUUGGACUUGGAGGUCGUGUCGGCUCGUAACAAAGUCGACUCCUCUGAAAUGCAUUAGUGUGAAACCUUCGCAGGAUCGCCUUCGGUGUGAUAAUUGUCUACGCCGUCGGUCGUGAAAGUCGAAACAUACGUGUUCACGCUUCUAAUCGUCCGUCGAGGACAAACUUUUUUCUUGACCAUCUGACCUCAAAUCAGGUAGGACU